rnacentral:rRNA from 1 species
GAUGAACGCUGGCGGCGUGCCUAAUACAUGCAAGUCGAGCGGACCAAAGAGAGCUUGCUCUCUGAGGUUAGCGGCGGACGGGUGAGUAACACGUGGGUAACCUGCCUGUAUGACGGGGAUAACUUCGGGAAACCGAAGCUAAUACCGGAUGAUAAAGAGAAACGCCUGUUUCUUUUUUGAAAGUCGGCCUUGUGCUGACGCUUACAGAUGGGCCCGCGGCGCAUUAGCUAGUUGGUGAGGUAACGGCUCACCAAGGCGACGAUGCGUAGCCGACCUGAGAGGGUGAUCGGCCACACUGGGACUGAGACACGGCCCAGACUCCUACGGGAGGCAGCAGUAGGGAAUCUUCGGCAAUGGACGAAAGUCUGACCGAGCAACGCCGCGUGAGCGAUGAAGGCCUUCGGGUCGUAAAGCUCUGUUGUCAGAGAAGAACAAGUACCGGAGUAACUGCCGGUACCUUGACGGUACCUGACCAGAAAGCCACGGCUAACUACGUGCCAGCAGCCGCCGCCGUAA